rnacentral:snoRNA from 1 species
GGAUCGAUGAUGACUCCCUCACAUGCAUUCCUUGGAAAAUCUGAACAAAAUGAGUGAGAACUCACUACCGUACCGUCGUUCUCAUCGAAACUGAGGUCC